rnacentral:rRNA from 1 species
AUUGAACGCUGGCGGCAUGCCUUACACAUGCAAGUCGAACGGUAACAGGUCUUCGGAUGCUGACGAGUGGCGAACGGGUGAGUAAUACAUCGGAACGUGCCCAGUCGUGGGGGAUAACGAAGCGAAAGCUUUGCUAAUACCGCAUACGAUCUACGGAUGAAAGCGGGGGAUCGCAAGACCUCGCGCGAUUGGAGCGGCCGAUGGCAGAUUAGGGAGUUGGUGGGGUAAAGGCUUACCAAGCCUACGAUCUGUAGCUGGUCUGAGAGGACGACCAGCCACACUGGGACUGAGACACGGCCCAGACUCCGACGGGAGGCAGCAGUGGGGAAUUUUGGACAAUGGGCGCAAGCCUGAUCCAGCAAUGCCGCGUGCAGGAUGAAGGCCUUCGGGUUGUAAACUGCUUUUGUACGGAACGAAAAGCUCUGGGUUAAUACCCUGGGGUCAUGACGGUACCGUAAGAAUAAGCACCGGCUAACUACGUGCCAGCCGCCGCCGUAA